UUCUAAGGGCGUUGAAGCAUGAUCGCAAGGACAUGUGGAGCGCUUAGAAGUGAGAAUGCCGGUGUGAGUAGCGAAAGACGGGUGAGAAUCCCGUCCACCGAUUGACUAAGGUUUCCAGAGGAAGGCUCGUCCGCUCUGGGUUAGUCGGGUCCUAAGCUGAGGCCGACAGGCGUAGGCGAUGGAUAACAGGUUGAUAUUCCUGUACCACCAUUAUUCGUUUUAAGCGAUGGGGGGACGCAGUAGGAUAGGCGAAGCGUGCUGUUGGAGUGCACGUCCAAGCAGUGAGAUUGAGUGUUAGGCAAAUCCGGCACUCUUAAGAUUGAGCUGUGAUGGGGAGAGGAACUUGUUCCUCGAGUCGUUGAUUUCACACUGCCGAGAAAAGCCUCUAGCUAGAAUAACGGUGCCCGUACCGCAAACCGACACAGGUAGUCAAGAUGAGAAUUCUAAGGUGAGCGAGCGAACUCUCGUUAAGGAACUCGGCAAAAUGACCCCGUAACUUCGGGAGAAGGGGUGCUCUUUGAGGUUCACGCUUCGAAGAGCCGCAGUGAAUAGGCCCAAGCGACUGUUUAUCAAAAACACAGGUCUCUGCUAAACCGUAAGGUGACGUAUAGGGGCUGACGCCUGCCCGGUGCUGGAAGGUUAAGAGGAGUGGUUAGCGCAAGCGAAGCUACGAAUCGAAGCCCCAGUAAACGGCGGCCGUAACUAUAACGGUCCUAAGGUAGCGAAAUUCCUUGUCGGGUAAGUUCCGACCCGCACGAAAGGCGUAACGAUUUGGGCACUGUCUCAACGAGAGACUCGGUGAAAUCAUAGUACCGGUGAAGAUGCCGGUUACCCGCGACAGGACGGAAAGACCCCGUGGAGCUUUACUGUAGCCUGAUAUUGAAAUUCGGUACAGUUUGUACAGGAUAGGUAGGAGCCUUAGAAGCGUGAGCGCUAGCUUACGUGGAGGCAUUGGUGGGAUACUACCCU
rnacentral:rRNA from 1 species